UACGGGGGGUGCAAGCGUUGUUCGGAAUCAUUGGGCGUAAAGGGCGUGUAGGCGGCCAGACAAGUCAGAUGUGAAAGCCCUGGGCUUAACCCAGGAAGUGCAUUUGAAACUGUUUGGCUGGAGUAGGGGAGAGGAAAGUGGAAUUCCUGGUGUAGAGGUGAAAUUCGUAGAUAUCAGGAGGAACACCGGUGGCGAAGGCGACUUUCUGGCCCUAUACUGACGCUGAGACGCGAAAGCGUGGGUAGCAAACAGG
rnacentral:rRNA from 1 species